rnacentral:rRNA from 1 species
GAUGAACGCUGGCGGCGUGCCUAAUACAUGCAAGUCGAGCGAAUGGAUUAAGAGCUUGCUCUUAUGAAGUUAGCGGCGGACGGGUGAGUAACACGUGGGUAACCUGCCCAUAAGACUGGGAUAACUCCGGGAAACCGGGGCUAAUACCGGAUAACAUUUUGAACCGCAUGGUUCGAAAUUGAAAGGCGGCUUCGGCUGUCACUUAUGGAUGGACCCGCGUCGCAUUAGCUAGUUGGUGAGGUAACGGCUCACCAAGGCAACGAUGCGUAGCCGACCUGAGAGGGUGAUCGGCCACACUGGGACUGAGACACGGCCCAGACUCCUACGGGAGGCAGCAGUAGGGAAUCUUCCGCAAUGGACGAAAGUCUGAAGGAGCAACGCCGCGUGAGUGAUGAAGGCUUUCGGGUCGUAAAACUCUGUUGUUAGGGAAGAACUAGUGCUAGUUGAAUAAGCUGGCACCUUGACGGUACCUAACCAGAAAGCCACGGCUAACUACGUGCCAGCCGCCGCCGUAA